AAAUACUAGUUAAAAUGUAAAUUAAGUAACUCCUUACCUGAAGCCCUUAAAUAUCUGACCAUUUCGGAUCGUUCAUCCAAAUCACUUAUGUUUUCUGUUUCUAAGGAAUCGUUAACUUUUUAAAUAAUUAAAAUAAACUAAAGUAUAUGAAAAGCACAUAGCUAACCUGAACUCAAAAUCGUUGAUCAAUUGUAAAUUUUGUAAAUUCAAAUAGACUUGCGCGUACCCUUGAAGGUAUUGGAGUUAAUAGUUGAUAUUCAUACCUGGUUUAUCCCAUUCAUCAGAAUCAACCUCUUCAUCCUCAGUUUCUUUACUGCCGCACAUAAUAUCUACUAGUAAACUAGCACCGGAACUACUACCAGAAGAGCUAGGAGAAUAACUAGCGACUGGAAUUUUUUCCUCAACGGGAGUCGUCGGCAUAUUAUUAUCUAGCGGAUUGGAAGCCAUGACAGAGUUUGUAUAACAUGAAAAUAUGACUAAUCAAUUAUUUUUAAGGAAGUAUAAAUUAAAGCUUCGUUUGAGAAAGGCAAUGAUCUACUGAACUGAAGAUCUCUGGUUCAACUUUUCGAUAAGUCUUAUUACAAUUACGAAAAGCUAGUCUCUUGUUUAGUGCAGUAAAGUUUCGUUAGCUUAAUGGUAUGCGGGCAACUGUGAUCUCGUUAUUUCCUGGUAAUAAUGGCUAUUAGAAGCAAAGCACUGUAUAAGUUUAACUAUACAACUUGUUAAUUUAAACGUUGCUUUGAACCAUGAGAACUGGAAUGCGUAUUAGUAUGCAAUGCGCAAGUGUAGAAAGUAAUGAAAUGAUAUGAUAGUGAUUUACCAAAUGUUAAAGUUAAUCAUGUAAAUUCAAUUUAAAAUCUACUAAAAGUAUGAGAGCUAAUUCUGCUUUGAUUUUAUAAGGAAUUACGAGCACUUUCUUACAAGCUCGACUUUCUUGAAUGGACUGCAUUAAUUAAUACCUACUAAAAUAAAUGGAGGUUUUUCGU